GACGGAGGGUGCAAGCGUUGUUCGGAAUCACUGGGCGUAAAGCGCGUGUAGGCGGUUUGAUAAGUCGAAUGUGAAAGGCCGAGGCUCAACCUCGGAAGUGGAUUCGAAACUGUCAGGCUUGAGUUCGGGAGAGGGAAGUGGAAUUUCUGGUGUAGAGGUGAAAUUCGUAGAUAUCAGGAGGAACACCGGUGGCGAAGGCGGCUUACUGGACCGAUACUGACGCUGAGACGCGAAAGCGUGGGGAGCAAACAGG
rnacentral:rRNA from 1 species